CGGCUUUGAUGAACACUCUUCCACCUGAAUGGCAAGCAGUGUUAGAUCGGCUAUGGGAGGUCAACGUGGUCCCGGGUUAUAGGAGGCUGGUGAAAGCUUUUGUAAGAGAGCACUAUAGGAUUGAGUUGGCCAAAACUUCAACCCUUAGAUUGAGCGCCACAUGGCGCCGAGUGAAUGCGCCUUGGAGGCAACAUGAAAGCUCUUCAAAAGUUUUUCCAUGGUUGGCAAAUGUGC
rnacentral:lncRNA from 1 species